rnacentral:rRNA from 1 species
GAAGCUUGCUCCUGGAUUCAGCGGCGGACGGGUGAGUAAUGCCUAGGAAUCUGCCUGGUAGUGGGGGACAACGUUUCGAAAGGAACGCUAAUACCGCAUACGUCCUACGGGAGAAAGCAGGGGACCUUCGGGCCUUGCGCUAUCAGAUGAGCCUAGGUCGGAUUAGCUAGUUGGUGAGGUAAUGGCUCACCAAGGCGACGAUCCGUAACUGGUCUGAGAGGAUGAUCAGUCACACUGGAACUGAGACACGGUCCAGACUCCUACGGGAGGCAGCAGUGGGGAAUAUUGGACAAUGGGCGAAAGCCUGAUCCAGCCAUGCCGCGUGUGUGAAGAAGGUCUUCGGAUUGUAAAGCACUUUAAGUUGGGAGGAAGGGUUGUAGAUUAAUACUCUGCAAUUUUGACGUUACCGACAGAAUAAGCACCGGCUAACUCUGUGCCAGCAGCCGCGGUAAUACAGAGGGUGCAAGCGUUAAUCGGAAUUACUGGGCGUAAAGCGCGCGUAGGUGGUUCGUUAAGUUGGAUGUGAAAUCCCCGGGCUCAACCUGGGAACUGCAUCCAAAACUGGCGAGCUAGAGUAUGGUAGAGGGUGGUGGAAUUUCCUGUGUGUAGCAGGGGCGACGCACAUGCAAGUUCGAGCGGAUG